GCUUUAAUAGUAUAACCAUUACCUUGGUCUUGUAAACCAAAAAUGAAGACC
rnacentral:tRNA from 1 species